AACGCGAAGAACCUUACCCAGGUUUGACAUGUAGAGGAAUUUAGCAGAGAUGUUAAAGCCCUUCGGGGCCUCUACACAGGUGCUGCAUGGCUGUCGUCAGCUCGUGCCGUGAGGUGUUGGGUUAAGUCCCGCAACGAGCGCAACCCUUAUCGUUAGUUGCCAACAGGUAAUGCUGGGAACUCUAGCGAGACUGCCUGGGUUAACCAGGAGGAAGGUGAGGAUGAUGUCAAGUCCGCAUGGCCCUUAUAUCUGGGGCUACACACGUGCUACAAUGGUCGGUACAGAGGGCAGCGAACCCGCAAGGCGAAGCAAAUCCUAGAAAGCCGACCCCAGUUCAGAUUGUAGUCUGCAACUCGACUACAUGAAGAUGGAAUUGCUAGUAAUGGCGAGUCAGCAACAUCGCCGUGAAUACGUUCCCGGGCCUUGUA
rnacentral:rRNA from 1 species